GUACUGAUCUGGCAGGGGAGUUACGGGGAUCUCAAGGCUGAUACCCGGGCGGAGGCUCGCCCACUGCACUCCGGGCGCGCUGACGCCUGCUGUGUCCCAAAUGUGGGACACUCGACUGUAAAAUGUGUGGUGGUGUGGAAGGUGUUCGCGGUCUCCCUG